AAAACCCUACAAUGUACGUGGAAACCCUGGGAGUUUUGAGCCAACACCAAAACUUUUGGAGCCUGGGCUCUGGCUGUGACUUGUAUGCCUCAUCAUUGAGGAAACAUAAAGCAGUCAGGAGGGCACCACCGUGCUGAGCCAGGUUCAGACACCGGGUCCCACGGCAUCUGUGGGGUUUUG
rfam:Syntrophaceticus schinkii strain Sp3 genome assembly, contig: SSCH_Contig_139